rnacentral:rRNA from 1 species
GAUGAACGCUGGCGGCGUGCCUAAUACAUGCAAGUCGAGCGAACAGACGAGGAGCUUGCUCCUCUGACGUUAGCGGCGGACGGGUGAGUAACACGUGGAUAACCUACCUAUAAGACUGGGAUAACUUCGGGAAACCGGAGCUAAUACCGGAUAAUAUAGUGAACCGCAUGGUUCAAUAGUGAAAGACGGUUUUGCGGUCACUUAUAGGUGGAUCCGCGCCGCAUUAGCUAGUUGGUAAGGUAACGGCCUACCAAGGCAACGAUGCGUAGCCGACCUGAGAGGGUGAUCGGCCACACUGGAACUGAGACACGGUCCAGACUCCUACGGGAGGCAGCAGUAGGGAAUCUUCCGCAAUGGGCGAAAGCCUGACGGAGCAACGCCGCGUGAGUGAUGAAGGUCUUCGGAUCGUAAAACUCUGUUAUUAGGGAAGAACACAUGUGUACGUAACUAUGCACGUCUUGACGGUACCUAAUCAGAAAGCCCCGGCUAACUACGUG